UUUGAGAGAUGGGAUGACACAGUAGGAUAAGCUAAGCACACUGUUGGUUAUGUGUGCCCAAGCAUUGAGGCAGUCAGAGUAGGUAAAUCCGCUUUGAUAAUGCUGGGAUGUGAUGGGGAGCGAAAUUUAGUAGCGAAGUAGCUGAUUUCACACUGUCAAGAAAAGUCUCUAUCGAGGUUAAAGGUACCCGUACCGCAAACCGACACAGGUGGGUGAGGAGAGUAUCCUAAGGCCCGCG
rnacentral:rRNA from 1 species